GCUGGGAUAGCUUAGUGAGUAAAGCAUGAGACUCUUAAUCUCAGAGUCAGGGGUUCGAACCCCACAUUGGGUG
rnacentral:tRNA from 1 species